CAAGAAGAAGUAGAAGAAGAAGAAGACGAAAAAGAAGGAUCCCAGGCAAGACUGGGAAGGUCGUGAACUUUCUGAAUCAAUUCAAGGUAACGUCAAAGACCCUCAGAUUGGAAAGCCUUAAAUUUAUCAGAUAAAAUGAGCGCAAAGAAAGCUGAUGGGUGAUCGGACGGUGUCAAGGGAUGGAUUAGUUUAGCUUGUAAUUUGGACAGAAAUGACUUAAGAAGGUUUGUUUAGAUUGUACAUUAUCAAAGCUUAUAAGCGACGAGAGGACAGCAUAGUUGAGAAUCAGUAGCAUGAAAUAAACAAGUUAAUGUUUUUCUCAACUAGUCGCUUGUAGUGGUCACAUGUACAUAAUAUCAGAGUGUAUGGAAUAAUUAGAUUAAGAUGUUUACAUUAUUUGAGUCAGCCACUUCAAUCCCGUUUACAUGCUACUUGCCAUUACUCUGAUUAUUUGCUGAGAAAUGUGAUGUUUUAAUGCUUUUUUAAAAUAUAAAUAUAUAAAAGAACCACUCCAUAGGAGUCAUUUUUGACUACACUGGAUGCGCUGUCUGUUUUGAUUAACUGAAAAGAAUUGGUUCAUUAGAGUCAAUUGUGUGUGAAUCGGAAAACACACGAUGGAUGUUGGUGUGUUUUGCCCGCGAGCAGGUUACCCCAUGUGACUCUACCCUCCCUAGCAACCGGGCCAAUUUGGUUGCUAAGGAGACUUGGCUGGAGUCACUCAGCACGCCCUCGAUUCGAGCUCGCGACUCCAGGGGUGGUAGUCAGCAUCAAUAAAAUAUAAACAUUUCACAAGGCGUUCAUAAUAAAGGAUAAAGGAGCUUUGACCGGAUUGACCAGAUUUACAAAUUCAGCAUCAUUCAAGUGAUCGAGGACGAGCUUACACCCGGGGUUUCUCCAGCACAUGUUAUGGCAAACGGAGUUGGCUAGCUGGAUGCGGUGUCUGCGAUACCAUACUGGGACACACCAGGGAACGGUUCUCCUUCACAAACCACCUCGUUAGUGCCACCCUGCUUCAAGGGGACAGGUUUGAACAGUACAAGAUGGCAUUUCCUGAAGAUGCACUGAGCAACAUCUUGAAGGCCUAUCCAGUGCUCAAUGGAAGUAAGCUGAAGACAGACUUAGUCUUAUCUACAGCAAGGAAGUGUGUUGUGAUGCUGUGGACUUACAUCAGCUGUUUAUAGAGAACAAUCUUGAAGAAGUCUUUUCAGAGACUGUCACUCACCUAAAGAUCCUCAUGACCACAGUGGAAGCUGAGAGGUGUUCCUCAACCUUGAAAAAAAAUUCAGACUUUUCUGAGGAACAACAUGACCCAGGAGAGGCUGAAUGCACUGGCCAUGCUGUCAAUGGAAAAGAGACUGGUGACUGAGAUGACUGACUUUAACCAGAAAGUCACUGAAAAAUUUGCAGGCCAGAAAGAAAGGAGGGCAAAAUGUAUGUUUAAGUAGUGCUGCUGGCCAGUGUUUAGGCAACAUUACAGUGUGCUGUUUUGUUUUUUGGUUUGUUUUGUUUAUGACAGGCCAUUAAAAUGAUUUAAUAGACAUUAAAUUAAGGUUUUGGCAUUAAAAAGUCCUACAUUUGAUGCACAGCACUGGCAUUAAGAGUUUUCAAAAUAUACAUUCCAACUGGUAAUUUGAUUGAUUUACAUUUAAUUCAGUUGUUUUAAUGUAAAUAUUGUCUAAGGUUUCAUAUAUUGCUGGUGCUUUUAAAUGGGUUAAAUGUUGCUUUGAGUGGGUUUGGUGGUGUUCACACUUUAUUACUGAUAAUAAACACACAUUAAACUCAAAUU